AUAGACUUAAGGACUUAACCUCUUAAAUCUCAUAGGACUACUCCCUUCUGCUAGAAUCGAUGGAUCCCAUCUUGAUCACAUCCCACUUCUACAGUAGACCAACUGUCGCCAACAUCCAUUAUAAGGGCUCAUUGAGAUCCAUGUUGAUGUGUCAGUCAAACUCUUGCAGCCUCACGAUGAGCAGUAGUAUCAUCUCAGAUCAAAGGAUCAGUCAUACAACUGCAGCAUCGAGAAAGUCACUAAUGAGUGAGCAGAUAUCCAUGUGACUUCUCAUAUUGGUCACGCUCAGUGCUAGUUAUUCUCUAACAACCACCUGC
rnacentral:lncRNA from 1 species